AACUAACGCUGGCGGCGUGCCUAACACAUGCAAGUCGUACGAGAAAGUUGGCUUCGGCCGAUGAGUACAGUGGCGCACGGGUGAGUAACGCGUGGAUAAUCUGCCCUUAAGUGUGGAAUAACGUACCGAAAGGUGCGCUAAUACCGCAUAAUGCCUGGCAACAUAAGUUGUCCGGCCAAAGAAGGCCUCUGCUUGCAAGCUUUCGCUAAAGGAUGAGUCCGCGUACCAUUAGCUAGUUGGUGGGGUAACGGCCUACCAAGGCGACGAUGGUUAGCUGGUCUGAGAGGAUGAUCAGCCACACUGGAACUGAGACACGGUCCAGACUCCUACGGGAGGCAGCAGUGAGGAAUAUUGGGCAAUGGGCGCAAGCCUGACCCAGCAACGCCGCGUGAAGGAAGAAGGCUUCGGGUUGUAAACUUCUUUUGUCAGGGAAGAGUAGAAGACUGUACCUGGCGAAUAAGCCACGGCUAACUACGUGCCAGCAGCCGCGGUAAAACG
rnacentral:rRNA from 1 species